rnacentral:rRNA from 1 species
GAUGAACGCUGGCGGCGUGCCUAACACAUGCCAGUCGAACGAAGCACCUUACCUGAUUCUUCGGAUGAAAGUUUGGUGACUGAGUGGCGGACGGGUGAGUAACGCGUGGGUAACCUGCGCUGUACAGGGGGAUAACAGCUAGAAACGGCUGCUAAUACCGCAUAAGCGCACGAGGAGACAUCUCCUUGUGUGAAACACUCCGGUGGUACAGGAUGGGCCCGCGUCUGAUUAGCUGGUUGGCAGGGUAACGGCCUACCAAGGCAACGAUCAGUAGCCGGUCUGAGAGGAUGAACGGCCACAUUGGAACUGAGACACGGUGCAAACUCCUACGGGAGGCAGCAGUGGGGAAUAUUGCACAAUGGGGGAAAUCAUGAUGCAGCAACGCCGCGUGAGUGAAGAAGUAUUUAGGUAUGUAAAGCUCCAUCAGCAGGGAAGAUAAUGACGGUACCUAACUAAGAAGCACCGGCUAAAUACGUG